UUUAAAAUCCACUUGUGCCAAAUAUGUCGAUUUUUAUGUAUUUUUCCGGAUCCGAAAAGUAACAGGACCCACUAUUUUAAGAGUUUGUACCUUUGAUCAAAAUAUCGAAACAGUAUCACUUUUUCAUUGCUAAUGUGAGUAGGGCAGCUUUUAAACGAUUUCAAGAUCUUUAGCUUACAGGGCUUGUAUGAAUUCGAAUGUUGCUUGUCACUAUCUACUUACUGCCGUAGACCGAUGCAGAUGACAGGGCGGACUGCCUCUCACCUUCGUGGAUAAACGUGGAAACAAUGGAACUCGUUUAUAAUGAUCCUCACUGUAAACGGCUGUUUUCUCGCUGUUGUGUCGUUGUCAGAGCACAACACAGAUCACGUGGCGAAGACCAUCUAGACUUCGUGGAUAAAUGUAACAAAAAUGGAAGUCGUUUGUAACUAUCUUUAUUGUGCAGGACUCGAAUGAAUUCGAAUUACUUCGUCACCAUUGCGCCGCUUUCGUGGGACAACUCAGAUUGCGGGGAGAAUGCAUCCUCCCCUUCGUCGAAAAAAAUUGUAACAUCUCUGUAUUGUGUCUUCGCUGUGCAGUCUUCUUGGCCAUCGAUACGUCCUUGCCGUAGAAUGUAAGAGAUUACUGGGUAGACGUACUCUCAUUCUCGGUCUAAACGCUGUGCAAAACCCUUAUAGUUUCAAACAACCCGGUUAUGUGUUUUAUCAGUCUCCAUCUUUUGCGUCAGGAGGACGAAAACUUCUUGCCGGCCGGCUUUGUCGACGAUUCAAAAGACACGCCUUCUGCUCAGGUCAGAUAUGUCAGCAAAUUAAGUUACCCUGGCAAGUGGUGUAACUUUCAUCGUCUACACAUUCCCUUUUCAAGUUUCUGGGUGUUCCCAUGAAUAAUUAUUUCAGGUCAUUAUCUACCUUAAGUAAGCUCCGCUAUUAGGCGGUUUGGCUGUAUCAUCCAAAAUUGUUAAUCGCUGAAAUA